rnacentral:rRNA from 1 species
GACGAACGCUGGCGGCGUGCUUAACACAUGCAAGUCGAACGGAAAGGCCCCUUCGGGGGUACUCGAGCGGCGAACGGGUGAGUAACACGUGAGUAACCUGCCCUUGACUUCGGGAUAACUUCAGGAAACUGGGGCUAAUACCGGAUAGGAAUCCUUGCUGCAUGGUGGGGGUUGGAAAGCUUCGGCGGUUUUGGAUGGACUCGCGGCUUAUCAGCUUGUUGGUGGGGUAGUGGCUUACCAAGGCUUUGACGGGUAGCCGGCCUGAGAGGGCGACCGGCCACAUUGGGACUGAGAUACGGCCCAGACUCCUACGGGAGGCAGCAGUGGGGAAUAUUGCACAAUGGGCGGAAGCCUGAUGCAGCAACGCCGCGUGCGGGAUGACGGCCUUCGGGUUGUAAACCGCUUUCAGCAGGGGCGAAGCUUGUGGUGACGGUACCUGCAGAAGAAGCACCGGCUAACUACGUG